UACGGAGGAUGCAAGCGUUAUCCGGAUUUAUUGGGUUUAAAGGGUGCGCAGGUUGUUUGAUAAGUCAGUGGUGAAAGUCUGUCGCUUAACGGUAGGAUUGCCAUUGAUACUGUUGGACUUGAAUAUGGAUGAGGUAGGCGGAAUGUGUAGUGUAGCGGCGAAAUGCAUAGAUAUUACACAGAGCACCGAUUGCGAAGGCAGCUUACUAAUCCAUCAUUGACGCUGAUGCACGAAAGCGUGGGGAUCAAA
rnacentral:rRNA from 1 species